AUUGUUAUAGGAGGCGCGCCAUCGGUGUAACUUCCCCCUUCCUCGUUGAUGGCGGCGGCCCCCUUCCCUCACUCGCGAUCUUCGUCGUAACAGAGCCGCGCUGCCACAGCUCCAACCGAAAUCGCCGACGCAGCAGCGGCGUUGGUUCGGACAUCGCCCUCUGACUUCUCCCACCCCUCACCUAUUGUCGCUAGACCCUGAGAUUUUGGCAGCGGUCCAAGCUUUUCUUCCUUUCCUCUAUCUCUAUCUCCGUCGACCUAGAAUUUUUUUCUACUUAGUUACUUCACCUCCUCCAUCUCCAUCGACGUAGGAAUUUUUUUCGCUGCCCUGGGUGGAAUUGCAGGUCGCCAGCUGCAUCAUUCGUCCAAUUUCUUGUCGCUGCCGCACCUCUUCUCGCCGCUCGUCAGGACCAAUGGGAACAGGGCGUACGUCAUCGAUACUUUGGCCUUCGUACGCCGCACUUGUUAUUUGAUGUUGGCUGGCUUACGAGAAACAUUGACGAUAAGGGUUUCGAGUUGCGCUAUAGGUGUUUGUGUUUAUGUAGGUGAGGAGGUUGGAGGCGCAACAGGUGCCCUCCAAGGGGAUGCUAUCACGUCAGUCAUCACGAUAGUUUGGAGAAUGUUGCCCAGUCCUAGUCUCGAAGCCGAAGAUGCAGAAGAGCUGCGAGGUGUUGACGAGGUACGCCUUAGUUGCGUUGGUCUUGAGAGCUAUGAAGAGAGGUGCCACAGAGGUGAGAAAUUGGACGAAGUGUCACGAACGGUCGUCACGCACCCGUAACAACUCUCUUCAACGAACCAUUCGUCGUUUGUGUUUACAUGUACAGCUGUGUGGCAGCAUGUUUUGGCUUGAUUUUAUGUCAUUUUGUUUGUAAAAAUGUAAGUUCGAAUAAGUUGCAGCGCUAUAGUGCGACCACUCAUCGAAUCAAGCAAAACAGCCCAAAACAGUUUCAUUUUCUCGUGCCACGAGUUGCUUUCUGCAGCCCGUUGUUGCACGCGAAACGUCAGCCAUCUUAGCACCCUGGAACCACCCGGGUGGCACCAUGGUGUCACGGACAAACUUCUAAACAAGGUGUUCGAUGUAAUGCUUAUACAUGUCCGUGUCGUUUGGCAUGUUCAUGCCUUGUACAGCAGGUAGAGGGGCGGCCGAAGGCUUAAUAGUCCCAUGUUAGUUGGGUUGGUGGCCUCUUUUGGCUUGUAAAUAAAGGUUGUGUCAUGUGGAUACGUUCGAGAGCUUUUCGGUCUGUAA